rnacentral:lncRNA from 1 species
CAACCUUCCUGCCUCAGCCUCCCAAGUAGCGAGGAUGACAAAGGUGUGUGCCAUCAUUCCCAGCUCUCCUUUCUUUCCUUUUUAAUUUUUUUAAAAAAUGAGAUAUAAUUCUUAAACCAUAAAAUUUGCCUUUUAAAACAUGUGCUCCUGGGUCUUAGUAUAUGGACAAGGUUGCAGCAAGCAUCACUUUCAUUCAAUUCCAGAACACUUGCAUCACCCCAAAAAGAAACCCUGGACCCAGUAGAAUCACACCCCACACCUCUUUCAGCCUCUGACACCCACUAAGCCACUCUUUGUCUCUGUGAAUUUGCCUAUUCUAGAUGUCAUAUAAAUGUUUUGUUUUGUUUUGUUGAGACAGAGUCUGGCUAUGUAGUUCAGGCUGGCCUCGAACUCGUGAAGAUCCCCCUGCCUCAGCCUCCCCCAGGCUGCAACGACAGGAUUUCCUCUUCCAUGGAUGCAUGGGUAAGGGUGGUCCCUACCUCUCGGAAAAGACCCGGUGUUGAGAGCCCAGCAUGGGAGCCGCCUCCGUGAAUCCACGCAACUAAUGUCCUCAACCCGCCAUAGGCUGCUUUCCGGAGGUGGCCCGGUACCCUGCUGUGGUUUUCGGAAAGGGCCACGGAGGCUCGGGAGGAUAAGCAGACUUUGGAACAGACGGGGCAGGGCGUGGACCGGGAAAGGCCACUCAGCCUCCGCGCACCCGGGGCUGGAAGACACGGUGGUCCCCGCGGCGCUGCGUGUGUGGCCCGGGCCCGGCCCCCGCCUCUGAUCUCCCUCUCUGGGUCUCUUUGUCUCGGCCUCUCCGCCUGUCUGGGUUACGGGUCUCCGUCCCAGUCUUUGUCCCUCUCCGCGUCUCCCCUCGCUCACUUUCUCCCCGCGGCCCCCUCCUUCUGUCCUUCUCUUUUGUGUUUCUGCUCUUUGCCUCUCUCUCUGGCCAUCUCUUUGUGUCUCUGCCUUUGUGUAUCUCUCCCCAUCUCUCCGCGCGCCCCUGGGCUGGCGCUUGGCCUCGUUGCCUCUGC